rnacentral:rRNA from 1 species
UACGUAGGGUGCAAGCGUUGUCCGGAAUUAUUGGGCGUAAAGAGCUCGUAGGCGGUUGUCACGUCGGAUGUGAAACCCGAGGCUUAACCUCGGGCCUGCAUUCGAUACGGGCUGACUAGAGUUCGGUAGGGGAGACUGGAAUUCCUGGUGUAGCGGUGAAAUGCGUAGAUAUCGAGAGGAACACCGGUGGCGAAGGCGAGUCCCUGGACAACACCUGACACUGAGGCACGAAAGCUAGGGAGCAAACAGG